CCUACGGGAGGCAGCAGUGGGGGAUAUUGCACAAUGGGGGAAACCCUGAUGCAGCAACGCCGCGUGAAGGAAGAAGGUCUUCGGAUUGUAAACUUUUGUCCUUAGUGAAGAUAAUGACGGUAGCUAAGGAGGAAGCUCCGGCUAACUACGUGCCAGCAGCCGCGGUAAUACGUAGGGAGCAAGCGUUGUCCGGAUUUACUGGGUGUAAAGGGUGCGUAGGCGGAAGAGCAAGUCAGUAGUGAAAUCCAUGGGCUUAACCCGUGAACUGCUAUUGAAACUGUUUUUCUUGAGUGAAGUAGAGGUAGGCGGAAUUCCCGGUGUAGCGGUGAAAUGCGUAGAGAUCGGGAGGAACACCAGUGGCGAAGGCGGCCUACUGGGCUUUAACUGACGCUGAGGCACGAAAGCAUGGGUAGCAAACAGGAUU
rnacentral:rRNA from 1 species